rnacentral:rRNA from 1 species
GCACAAGCGGUGGAGCAUGUGGUUUAAUUCGACGCAACGCGAAGAACCUUACCUGGGCUCGAAAUGUACAGGAAUCCGGUAGAAAUAUCGGCGUCCCGCAAGGGACCUGUAUAUAGGUGCUGCAUGGCUGUCGUCAGCUCGUGUCGUGAGAUGUUGGGUUAAGUCCCGCAACGAGCGCAACCCUUAUCUCCAGUUGCUACCAUUUAGUUGAGCACCCUGGCGAAACCGCCUCGGAUAACGGGGAGGAAGGUGGGGAUGACGUCAAGUCCUCAUGGCCUUUAUGUCCAGGGCUACACACGUGCUACAAUGGCCGGUACAAACCGCUGCAAACCCGCGAGGGGGAGCUAAUCGGAAAAAGCCGGCCUCAGUUCGGAUUGCAGUCUGCAACUCGACUGCAUGAAGCUGGAAUCGCUAGUAAUCGCAGAUCAGAAUGCUGCGGUGAAUACGUUCCCGGGC